rnacentral:rRNA from 1 species
GACGAACGCUGGCGGCGUGCCUAAUACAUGCAAGUCGAGCGGAGUUGAAAAAAAGUUUACUUUUUUUCUUCUCAGCGGCGGACGGGUGAGUAACACGUGGGCAACCUGCCCUGUAGACUGGGAUAACUUCGGGAAACCGAAGCUAAUACCGGAUAAUCAUAGAAGUUGCAUAGCUUCUAUGUAAAAGUUGGGUUUACCUAACACUCCAGGAUGGGCCCGCGUCGCAUUAGCUAGUUGGUAAGGUAACGGCUUACCAAGGCGACGAUGCGUAGCCGACCUGAGAGGGUGAUCGGCCACACUGGGACUGAGACACGGCCCAGACUCCUACGGGAGGCAGCAGUAGGGAAUCUUCCGCAAUGGACGAAAGUCUGACGGAGCAACGCCGCGUGAGCGAUGAAGGCCUUCGGGUCGUAAAGCUCUGUUGUUAGGGAAGAACAAGUGCUAUUUCGAAUAGGGUGGCACC